rnacentral:rRNA from 1 species
UACCAAGGUUACGAUGGUUAGCUGGUCUGAGAGGAUGAUCAGCCACACUGGAACUGAAACACGGUCCAGACUCCUACGGGAGGCAGCAGUGAGGAAUUUUGCGCAAUGGGGGAAACCCUGACGCAGCAACGCCGCGUGAGUGAAGAAGGUUUUCGGAUCGUAAAGCUCUGUCGAGUGGGAAAAAGGUUCUAAUAUAAAUAGUAUUAAAAAUUGAUGGUACCACUAGAGGAAGCACCGGCUAACUCCGUGCCAGCAGCCGCGGUAAUACGGAGGUGCAAGCGUUAUUCGGAAUUACUGGGCGUAAAGAGCGUGUAGGCGGGAUGAUAAGUCAGAUGUGAAAGCCCUGGGCUUAACCCAGGAAGUGCAUUUGAUACUGUCAUUCUUGAGUAUGGGAGAGGAGAGUGGAAUUCCUAGUGUAGAGGUGAAAUUCGUAGAUAUUAGGAGGAACAUCCGUGGCGAAGGCGACUCUCUGGACCAAUACUGACGCUGAGACGCGAAAGCGUGGGGAGCGAACAGGAUUAGAUACCCUGGUAGUCCACGCCGUAAACGAUGAGAACUAGGUGUAGCGGGUAUUGACCCCUGCUGUGCCGCAGUUAACGCAUUAAGCUCUCCGCCUGGGGAGUACGGCCGCAAGGCUAAAACUCAAAGGAAUUGACGGGGACCCGCACAAGCGGUGGAGCAUGUGGUUUAAUUCGACGCAACGCGAAGAACCUUACCUGGAUUUGACAUCCUUUGCUACCCCUGGAAACAGGGUUUUUUCCGACUUGUCGGAACAGAGUGACAGGUGCUGCAUGGCUGUCGUCAGCUCGUGUCGUGAGAUGUUGGGUUAAGUCCCGCAACGAGCGCAACCCUUGUUUUUAGUUGCCAUUAUUAAGUUAGGCACUCUAAAGAUACUGCCUCGGUUAACGGGGAGGAAGGUGGGGAUGACGUCAAGUCCUCAUGGCCUUUAUAUCCAGGGCUACACACGUGCUACAAUGGGCUGUACAAAGGGUUGCAACACCGCGAGGUGAAGCUAAUCUCAAAAAGCAGUUCUCAGUUCGGAUUGGAGUCUGCAACUCGACUCCAUGAAGGUGGAAUCGCUAGUAAUCGUGGAUCAGCAUGCCACGGUGACUACGUUCCCGGGUCUUGUACACACCGCCCGUCACACCACGAAAGUCAGUUGUACCAGAAGUUGCUGGGCUAACCCUUCGGGGAGGCAGGUACCUAAGGUACGGCCGGUAAUUGGGUGAAGUCGUAACAAGGUA